rnacentral:lncRNA from 1 species
UUGCGGCGACGAGGAUGACGAGGACGGCUGUUGAUACAUGGUACGUGCUGGUUUUUGCCAGACAACUACUAUACAAGCUGCUGCAGAAAGAAAUUAUCGCAGUUAAAGACUUAGAGAGAGAGAGAGGAGAUGCUAGUAUGAGAGAGGAGAAGGAGAUUGCUAGAUGGGGAAAUGUCGACUGAGUAGUUGUUGCGUUCGCCUGAGCUCUCUAUUGUUUUGUAAUAUAGUGUAGUGUAUAGAGACAAUCUACUUUAU